rnacentral:rRNA from 1 species
CUACGUGCCAGCAGCCGCGGUAAUACGGAAGGUCCGGGCGUUAUCCGGAUUUAUUGGGUUUAAAGGGAGCGUAGGCUGGAGAUUAAGUGUGUUGUGAAAUGUAGACGCUCAACGUCUGACUUGCAGCGCAUACUGGUUUCCUUGAGUACGCACAACGUUGGCGGAAUUCGUCGUGUAGCGGUGAAAUGCUUAGAUAUGACGAAGAACUCCGAUUGCGAAGGCAGCUGACGGGAGCGCAACUGACGCUUAAGCUCGAAGGUGCGGGUAUCAAACAGGAUUAGAUACCCUGGUAGUCCGCACAGUAAACGAUGGAUGCCCGCUGUUGGUACCUGGUAUCAGCGGCUAAGCGAAAGCAUUAAGCAUCCCACCUGGGGAGUACGCCGGCAACGGUGAAACUCAAAGGAAUUGACGGGGGCCCGCACAAGCGGAGGAACAUGUGGUUUAAUUCGAUGAUACGCGAGGAACCUUACCCGGGCUUGAAUUGCAGUCGCUGCCCACAGAGA